rnacentral:rRNA from 1 species
CCUGGUAGCUAUAGCGAGCGGGUACCACCUGAUCCCAUUUCGAACUCAGAAGUGAAAACGCUCUGCGCUGAUGCUAGUGUGGGUAUCCCAUGCGAAAGUAGGACACUGCCAGGA